AAUUACCUAUUAACCCAGCCGAACAGUUACACCUCUUUCAACCUUUGCUCAAGAUGCUUCCAUUGUGAUGCACUCCGCACUUUUCCAACAUGAUGUAAAAAUAACCAAUAACACGGAAUUAUUGGAUUGUACCAAGUAUCAGACAGGGCAUCAUGGGGAAUAUGCACCACAGCGUUAAUAUGGUUCUAAUUACAUAUUUGGUUAUGGCAAUGUCUGCACAUGAAUGUCUGACUUCUAAAGAAAAAAAAGCAACUUUUUCAUCAGAACUUCAUCCACUGGAAAGUUCUUCAGAUGUCCAGCAGGACAAUACUGUCAUAGAAGGACUUCUCCAAAAUAUCACAGAACCAACAGGAAUCAUCCACUCCGCCUGGCCUGCUGGGCUCGGUGCUUUGACAGCAGUGCUUUCCAUUGGACUACUCAUAGCACUGGCCGUGAGAUACCGUUUCUUCCGAUGGUGCCUGGCCAGAAACAGUCAGCACUUAUUACUGGAGGGAGAAACAGCCAGCCAGUUCAGUCAAGCCGGAGCCCUGGAUGGAGAAAUCCCAGUGCGCGGCAUGAGGGGUAGAAUGAUACAUGGAGGAAGUUCAGAUGAUGAUGAGGAUGAUGGCUACAUCGAGGACAACUACAUUCAGGCAAGUGAGAGAGAGAGAGAAGAGGAAGAGGAGAACCAGCAGGAAGAUGUUGAAGACAGUGAUGAUGAAAUGAUCAUUCCAGAAAUUAUAUAAACUCAUGUUAUGUCUGUGUACUGCUAUGUCCCCAUAAGUUUGGAAUUACUAUGACAUUAUUUAAAUGUAUGCUUUUAUUAACCCAGAAUUCAUUUAAUUGCUGACAGUAUAGACAUUUAUAUUUUUACAAAUUUCUAUUUCAAAUAAAAUAUGUUCAAAAUUUCUGUUUAUCAAAGAAUCGUUAUGCAUUCUAUAGCAGUCAGUUUAUUAAAGCAAUAUUUUGGGUUCAGUACUACAUGGUAAAAUGUUCAUCCUUUUGUUUAAAAGAAGCAAAAAUCAGGCAGUUACAAUCGAAGUGAAUGGGCAUUAGCAGGAGCCUACAUUAAAGUUUCAUGAAACUUAAGUUACAGUAGUCUUUUCCUCCCUAUUUUUGACGUAUAUUCAAGUAAAAUGGUCCCCCUGAAAUCAAAAUUUAAGUUUUUUAGCUUUUAGUAUGAAUAUGUUAGCCUUAAGGUUAUGAAUAAGCUGGUGUGUUCCAAAACAAUGACAAAAUUCGCAUUUAGGAGAUAUAAGCAUUCAAAACUUAGUCUCUCACUUCCGCUAAAAUGGAUCACGGAUUUUCAUGACAUCACAUCGCACCAGUGGCGUAGCGUCUGGGCAUGCAAGGUAUGCACGUGCAUAUGGGCCCUGGCGGAUUGGGGGCCCCCUAUUACGGGCUUAACCCCAAAGUAUACUUCGGGCGUCCGCGCACCGUCCGCAUUGCGAAAUUUUCGUCAUCAGGAGGGUUUGCAGACGUCCGCACUCCCCGUCCGCUUGCAGCCCAAUUUUUGUGAUGGCACGGACAGUGUGUACUGUACAACAGCCCAUGCGAGAGUGAAUUGAGUGCUUGAAAACAAAAGUCCACUAGAUAGUGCGCAGUGCACAUGUUCAGAAAAAUUAAGUAUAAUAAAAAAUAAUAUUGUCAAUAACUUGCUAUAGCCUAUCUAUGUUAAAUGUACUGAAAAUCAUUAAGAAGCUGAAUAAAUGGACCAUGUCUUAGCGAUGAUCUAUUGUAUUUGACCUGUAUUCGCUUUUCUGUCAUUUUUAAAGUGGGUUUCUGAAACUUAUGCAUGCAGUAAUGUAAGUAGUACAGAAUUUUAAAUAAGUCAUAUUGGUUUUCUGAAAAAAUGCUACGUCUGCACAUUUUAAGAUACUGCACAAGAUGUGAAUAAAUGUAACUCGUACAGUC